GACGAACGCUGGCGGCGUGCUUAACACAUGCAAGUCGAACGGAAAGGCCCUGCUUUUGUGGGGUGCUCGAGUGGCGAACGGGUGAGUAACACGUGAGUAACCUGCCCUUGACUUUGGGAUAACUUCAGGAAACUGGGGCUAAUACCGGAUAGGAGCUCCUGCUGCAUGGUGGGGGUUGGAAAGUUUCGGCGGUUGGGGAUGGACUCGCGGCUUAUCAGCUUGUUGGUGGGGUAGUGGCUUACCAAGGCUUUGACGGGUAGCCGGCCUGAGAGGGUGACCGGGCACAUGGGGACUGAGGGACGGCCCAGACUGCUACGGGAGGCAGCAGUGGGGAAUAUUGCACAAUGAGCGGGAGCCUGAUGAAGCGACGCCGCGGGCGGGAUGACGGCCUUCGGGUUGUAAACCGCUUUCGCCUGUGACGAAGCGUGAGUGACGGUAAUGAGUAAAGAAGCACCGGCUAACUACGUG
rnacentral:rRNA from 1 species